AGAGCGAACGCUGGCGGCAGGCCUAACACAUGCAAGUCGAGCGCCGUAGCAAUACGGAGCGGCAGACGGGAGAGUAACACGUGGGAACGUACCUUUCAGUUCGGAACAACCCAGGGAAACUUGGGCUAAUACCGGAUACGCCCUUACGGGGAAAGAUUUAUCGCUGAAAGAUCGGCCCGCGUCUGAUUAGCUAGUUGGUGGGGUAACGGCCCACCAAGGCUACGAUCAGUAGCUGGUCUGAGAGGAUGAUCAGCCUCACUGGGACUGAGACACGGCCCAGACUCCUACGGGAGGCAGCAGUGGGGAAUAUUGGACAAUGGGCGCAAGCCUGAUCCAGCCAUGCCGCGUGGAUGAUGAAGGCCCUAGGGUUGUAAAGUCCUUUCGGCGGGGAAGAUAAUGACGGUACCGCAGAAGAAGCCCCGGCUAACUUCGUGCCAGCAGCCGC
rnacentral:rRNA from 1 species